rnacentral:rRNA from 1 species
GAUGAACGCUAGCUACCGGCUUAACACAUGCAAGUUCGAGGGGCAGCAUUUUAGUUUGCUUGCAAACUGAAGAUGGCGACCGGCGCACGGGUGAGUAACACGUAUCCAACCUGCCGAUAACUCCGGGAUAGCCUUUCGAAAGAAAGAUUAAUACCGGAUAGUAUACGAAUAUCGCAUGAUAUUUUUAUUAAAGAAUUUCGGUUAUCGAUGGGGAUGCGUUCCAUUAGUUUGUUGGCGGGGUAACGGCCCACCAAGACUACGAUGGAUAGGGGUUCUGAGAGGAAGGUCCCCCACAUUGGAACUGAGACACGGUCCAAACUCCUACGGGAGGCAGCAGUGAGGAAUAUUGGUCAAUGGGCGCGAGCCUGAACCAGCCAAGUAGCGUGAAGGAUGAAGGCUCUAUGGGUCGUAAACUUCUUUUAUAUGGGAAUAAAGUUUUCCACGUGUGGAAUUUUGUAUGUACCAUAUGAAUAAGGAUCGGCUAACUCCGUGCCAGCAGCCGCGGUAAUACGGAGGAUCCGAGCGUUAUCCGGAUUUAUUGGGUUUAAAGGGAGCGUAGGUGGAUUGUUAAGUCAGUUGUGAAAGUUGCGGCUCAACCGUAAAAUUGCAGUUGAAACUGGCAGUCUUGAGUACAGUAGAGGUGGGCGGAAUUCGUGGUGUAGCGGUGAAAUGCUUAGAUAUCACGAAGAACUCCGAUUGCGAAGGCAGCUCACUAGACUGUCACUGACACUGAUGCUCGAAAGUGUGGGUAUCAAACAGGAUUAGAUACCCUGGUAGUCCACACAGUAAACGAUGAAUACUCGCUGUUUGCGAUAUACAGUAAGCGGCCAAGCGAAAGCAUUAAGUAUUCCACCUGGGGAGUACGCCGGCAACGGUGAAACUCAAAGGAAUUGACGGGGGCCCGCACAAGCGGAGGAACAUGUGGUUUAAUUCGAUGAUACGCGAGGAACCUUACCCGGGCUUAAAUUGCAACAGAAUAUAUUGGAAACAGUAUAGCCGUAAGGCUGUUGUGAAGGUGCUGCAUGGUUGUCGUCAGCUCGUGCCGUGAGGUGUCGGCUUAAGUGCCAUAACGAGCGCAACCCUUAUCUUUAGUUACUAACAGGUUAUGCUGAGGACUCUAGAGAGACUGCCGUCGUAAGAUGUGAGGAAGGUGGGGAUGACGUCAAAUCAGCACGGCCCUUACGUCCGGGGCUACACACGUGUUACAAUGGGGGGUGCAGAAGGCGGCUACCUGGUGACAGGAUGCUAAUCCCAAAAACCUCUCUCAGUUCGGAUCGAAGUCUGCAACCCGACUUCGUGAAGCUGGAUUCGCUAGUAAUCGCGCAUCAGCCAUGGCGCGGUGAAUACGUUCCCGGGCCU